GGAAUCUUCCGCAAUGGACGAAAGUCUGACGGAGCAACGCCGCGUGAGUGAUGAAGGUUUUCGGAUCGUAAAACUCUGUUGUUAGGGAAGAACAAGUACCGGAGUAACUGCCGGUACCUUGACGGUACCUAACCAGAAAGCCACGGCUAACUACGUGCCAGCAGCCGCGGUAAUACGUAGGUGGCAAGCGGUGUCCGGAAUUAUUGGGCGUAAAGCGCGCGCAGGUGGUUUCUUAAGUCUGAUGUGAAAGCCCCCGGCUCAACCGGGGAGGGUCAUUGGAAACUGGGAGACUUGAGUGCAGAAGAGGAAAGUGGAAUUCCAGGUGUAGCGGUGAAAUGCGUAGAGAUUUGGAGGAACACCAGUGGCGAAGGCGACUUUCUGGUCUGUAACUGACACUGAGGCGCGAAAGCGUGGGGAGCGAA
rnacentral:rRNA from 1 species